rnacentral:rRNA from 1 species
GACGAACGCUGGCGGCGUGCCUAACACAUGCAAGUCGAACGGCAAGGCACUGCUUUUGUGGUGUGCUCGAGUGGCGAACGGGUGCGUAACACGUGAGUAACCUGACCUUGACUUUGGGAUAACUUCAGGAAACUGGGGCUAAUACCGGACAGCAGCCCCUGUAGCAUGGAGGGGGUUGGAACUUUUCGGCGGUAGUGGAUGGAUUGGCGGCUUAUCAGCUUGUUGGUUGGGUAGUGGCUUACCAAGGCAUUGACGGGUAGCCGGCCUGGGAGGGUGACCGGGGACAAUGGUACUAAGAGACGGCCCAGACUCCAACGGGAGACAGCAGGGGGGAGUAUUGCACAGUGAGCGGAAGCCUGAGACGGCGACGCCGCGGGCGUGAUGACGGCCUGCGGGUUGAGAACCGCUUUCGCCUGAUACGAAGCGGGUGUGACGGUAAUGGGUGAAGAAGCACCGGCUAACUACGUG